rnacentral:ncRNA from 1 species
UUCGGAUAUGCCUUUGGUAAAAUUUUACUUGAAACAAGUAACGACAUUAUAGUCUGACGAAGGCGAUCAUUACAUAUAGCAAACCUCUUUUCGUAGCUCUAAAGCUACAACAUGCUGCUUGCUUAAGUUCACAUCUCUUGUCCACGUUCAGAAAAAAAGUUGCCCAAAGAUGGCUCAACACUUCGUGCAUAUCCUUCGUGAGUCCCUUAAGUCCUUUUGUCUCAUACAGCUCUUCAUUUAUUUUCCUGAUAAAAUAGCAGAAAAUUAAAAUCAAGAAGGGAAGUUAAAGAUUCGAAGGCGAUCAGAUAACGCGCUAGUUCUAACCACAAGCGAUGCCAAUCAGCAAUUGGGUGUAGUUAAUAUUAUGGCUAGUCGCUUCCCGGGAAACUAAAGCUUUUGGAUUCCGGGUGAAAUAUGUUUGCAAAGCUGCAACUUAAAGUGAUUGACUGAGGGACACCACCAGAUGUGGAGUCUUCGUUGUAAUUUGACAUAACACGGGGAAGCUUAUAAGUUCUCAACAUAAGUGUGUAAGAUAGAUCGAUAGCUCUUCCUCGGUGGGCAGUGGUGCAUGGUCGUUCUGAGUUCGUGGAGUAAUUUGUCUGGUUAUUUCUGACUAUAUAAUUUCGAUAAUGAACGAGACGCAACUAUGUUAAAUAGACGCUUUCAGGAUUAUGAUUUUUAAGGUUUUUAUGAGCGCAGCAAAAUGUAUGAGUAUUUGAAUGUGUUUAUAAAAGUGAGGCCGUGCCUUUUAAGGACACUAGCUUCUUAAAUAGACAAAUUGCGUCUAGCAAUAAAGAGAUUGACCAAUAAUAAGUUUGUGGGGCUCUUAGACGCCCUGGGCUGCAGGCGCGCAACAAUGAAAGUAUCAAGUGCGUUGAACCAUUUUCAUGCUUGGAUUUGUGAACUGAUACUAUUCACAGGAACUCGGAAUUCCCAAUAAGUAUGAGUCAUUAACUCGCAUUCAUUCCGUCGCUGCUCUUUGUAUGCACCGCCCCGUCGCUACUAUCAAUUGAAUUACUUAGUGAGGUUUCUGGACGUAAUCACUAUGACCCAUUUUAUGUGUUGCGGAGCUUUCGCGAAGAGUUGACUGAACUUGAUUAUUUCGAGGAAGUGAAAGUCGCGACAAGUCUGCGAAGCUGCAUGAGGC